rnacentral:misc_RNA from 1 species
CUCAAGCACUGCUAAAGAAUACAUUGAUGCCAAGUUACAGAAGGCGGCAGAAAAAGGCAAAUUUGAUGAAUUCAAUGAUUAUCAAGGGACUCUUGAUAGCCUACUGACCCCAAAUGAAAACACCGUAUUGCAUAUCUACCUUACCUCUACAAGUAAAAGAUCCAUCGACUUUAUAAAAAAGGUACUUGAUGAUACUCCGUCACUGUUGCUAAAGGUAAAUGUCUACGGUGAUACUCCGUUGCACAUUGCAGCAAGGUACGGGCAUGCUAAAGCAGCAAAAGAGCUCAUCAAGCGGAGAAAGGAAAGAGAUAUAGAGAGCGAAGAAUCGCUAAGGAAGAUGUUAGGGAUGGAAAAUAAAAAUAAAGAAACGGCCUUACAUGAGGCUGCUAGAAAUGAAGAUAGUCUCGGUGUUGUGAAAGCGAUAUUAAAUCAUGAAGAUCCUCCGUUUACAUAUUCUGCCAAUGAUUGUGGGGAGACUCCGCUUUACUUGGCUGCCAGUAAUGGGUGUCAAAAAAUAGUUUCUGAACUAUUAAGUAAUCCCAAUUCACAACCUUUGGCUUAUGGCGGCCCCAAUGGUAAAACUGCAUUACAUGCGGCAGCAAUACGCAGGAAUUACAAAUAUGGAAAGAUAAUAGAAAAGCUAUUGGAGAAAUUGAGUGGCUUGGCCAAAGAAACAGAUGAAAAUGGUUGGACUCCACUUCACUAUGCUGUGCAUGCAAGAAAUACUCCAACUUUUAUCGCUGAUGUAAGCACUA